rnacentral:rRNA from 1 species
UACGGAGGGGGCUAGUGUUGUUCGGAAUUACUGGGCGUAAAGGGCGCGCAGGCGGCUUGGCAAGUCGAGUGUGAAAUCCCUUGGCUUAACUAAGGAAUGGCGCUCGAAACUACCUCGCUAGAGGACGGGAGAGGGAAGUGGAACUCUCGGUGUAGGGGUGAAAUCUGUAGAUAUCGAGAGGAACACCGGUGGCGAAGGCGGCUUCCUGGCCCGUAGCUGACGCUGAGGCGCGAAAGCGUGGGGAGCGAACAGG